GCUACGCUGAGACUCUACUUUGAUGACACAGGUGCUGGGAUAUGAAUGACAGCACAGCUCUGUGGUGGGUGAUCAAAGGCCCUGUGGUUGGCUCUAUCAUGUUAACUUUGUGCUUUUUAUUGGCAUUAUCGUCAUCCUUGUGCAGAAACUUCAGUCUCCAGACAUGGGAGGCAAUGAGUCCAGCAUCUACUUACAAAUUUAAGCCCGCGAGUCCCCAAGAAAGCCCGAGAGGACCCCCUGCCUGUGCCCUCAGACCAGCAUUCACUCCCUUUCCUCGACUGGCCCGGUCCACCCUGCUGCUCAUCCCACUAUUCGGAAUCCACUACACAGUAUUUGCCUU
rnacentral:lncRNA from 1 species